AACAUAAACAAAACUUGUAAACGUCAACCCGUCAACAUUUCAUUCCAGCGAUUCCAGAGUAUCUAGAAUCUAGAUUCUAGACUUCUCGAAUGCCAUAUUCUAGACCGACCGUACAAUCGGAAGUCCAAAUGAUAUGCCAUUGAGAGUCUUUUGUAAUACUCUGAAUGUUUGCUUUCAGCUUUGAAAAUGUCUUCAUUGGACAAGCUAAAACUUUUAAGUAUUUGUUCCUUCUGCAAACGGAGUUCAUCGUCGGUAUGAUGUCUGAGCUGUUUAUGGUGUUGCUGUUUGGUGUCCAGUGGUUUUGAAGUUGAGGUUUGUUGAGUUUAAUCGUUUGCUGCCGUUCCAUAGACUUGAUCCAUUGGUAAAACUGAGGAGAGGUUGCUGAAAUUCAAGACUCGUCAAUAAAUUAUGUAGAUGUAGACAAAUUACAAGUGCAUAUCUGGGCUCCCUUCUUCAGUGGCCCCGUUUCCCUAAAUAACCACUAACCAACGCCCGCCGGUGGUCACUCACUCGCUGCCGAAAGCCUACUAUGAUGCAUUGCUCUCUUAAAAACUGUUCCUCGGCCCUCUUCGCUCUUUUUCCGGUUUCUCUUAACCAUGGCCGGGUAAUCAGGUAAUCUCCCUGGUAAAGUCAGUCGGGCAGUGUCUCCCCCUGCUUGACUGGCUGCAGUUUGAACCGGACGGUCUGUUAAAAUAAGAAUUUAAAUCGAGAACAACGCCUCCUUUGAGCGGCCCGGACAAUCCUGAAACCUUUAGGGUUGCCAUUUCGUCGAGGCUUAAACGAGGAUGACGCGGAGGUGUUUCCUAUUGAGGGGUUUUGGUGACCAGGAGUCACUGAACGAAACGCUAAACCAAAUGAAAAAAAAAAACAUUAAAAAAGCCAACGAUCCUUUACUAUAUCCGAGCCGAGUCCUUUCCGUCUACGUUCGGUGUGAAGAGCAAAACCCGAAUUUCAACACAUUUUACUGCUUAGCAAUGAAAACAAAGCGAGUGUCAAAACAUUGUUUUAUUUGCGCAUACUUUAUUGUGGCAGAAACGCGUUGGUCAUGUAACAGGGUGAAAUUUUUUCCCCUUUUGUUCAUGCAGCAUCAAACGCAGUGAUGUGCACGUCAUACGGUGACUUAUUCGAAAAUUUGACGUUACGUCGUACGUUACGUCAAUUUUCCUUGUUUUUGAAGUUUACGGUGACUUCUACGUAAGUGAAAAAAAAAUACUGACUUUUUACGUAUACUUUUGACGUGUAAAAAAGUCCAGUUAUGAGUUUACCGUAAAAGUCAAAAAACAAUUUUAAAAAUUUGGCAACAUUUGCUUUGCGAAAAUUCGUCUGCCAUUUUAAAUUUAUUAAAUUUUAAUUCUUCUAAAAAUAGCCCUCCAUGUUUAAUUUUCAUUCUUAUUUUUUCCAAAUGCAAUCUGUGUAUAUUAUGGGCAAUAGCAAUAAAUAAUGUAAUGAUGUA